GCCCGGGUGGCGGAACUGGCAGACGCGCACGACUCAAAAUCGUGUGAGGAAACUCAUGGGAGUUCGACUCUCCCCCCGGGCA
rnacentral:tRNA from 1 species